GACGAACGCUGGCGGCGUGCCUAAUACAUGCAAGUCGAGCGGACGUUUUGUUGGUGCUUGCACCGACUUAACGUUAGCGGCGGACGGGUGAGUAACACGUGGGCAACCUGCCCUGUAGUCUGGGAUAACUCCGGGAAACCGGGGCUAAUACCGGAUGAUACUUUUUGGCUCAUGUCAGAAAGUUGAAAGAUGGUUCUGCUAUCGCUACAGGAUGGGCCCGCGGCGCAUUAGCUAGUUGGUGAGGUAACGGCUCACCAAGGCGACGAUGCGUAGCCGACCUGAGAGGGUGAUCGGCAACACGGGGACUGAGACACGGCCCAGACUCCUACGGGAGGCAGCAGUAGGGAAUCUUCCACAAUGGACGAAAGUCUGAUGGAGCAACGCCGCGUGAGUGAAGAAGGAUUUCGGUUCGUAAAACUCUGUUGUAAGGGAAGAACAAGUACAGUAGUAACUGGCUGUACCUUGACGGUACCUUAUUAGAAAGCCACGGCUAACUACGUGCCAGCAGCCGCCGUAAAAC
rnacentral:rRNA from 1 species